rnacentral:sRNA from 1 species
GCCGGGCAUGGUGGUGCACGCCUGUGAUCCCAGCAGCUCAGGAGGCUGAGGCAGGAGGAUCACAAGUUCAAAGCCAGCCUCAGCAACUUGGUGAGGCCCUAUCUCAA